CAGACUUAGGAGAUGUCACUUCUGUUCUUCCCUCCACUUGUUGACUAGCUAUAAUGGAAACAACUCUUUCCUUCUUCUGUAUUUAGGAGUUCCUUAUUCUCUGCAGCAAACACACCUCUUCUUUGACAUUUUGGGGGACAGCCCUCCAAUGGAUGAAGAGGCAAGGAUGUCCCUCACACCCAGUGCAAUGCAGGUCACAACUGCAUUGCAAGGCCUCUACAGCAAGAGCAGUAGCAGUAGUGACCAGUAUGAAUCCAGCUGCUCCUUUGUGGGUGUUGCCAAUAUUUUGUUCUAGUGUUCUGAACCUUUGCAAGCUGCUUGACAGUUACAUACUGUUACAGUUACAUAUUGAUAAACCAUCUCUUGCAUGGCCAUGUUAUGAUUGGGAAAAUUCCACCUUUUACUUUGCUGUCCUUCAUGCAGCCUUCAAGGGUACACAGGUUCUGCUGGGACAGGAAGGUUGACAACCGCAUUCACAUGUCUUGCUUUCAGAGCUCACUCCAUUGCGGAUGCUGUUCAAUAAAAGUUUUCCAUUGUGUUAUA